rnacentral:lncRNA from 1 species
CAUGAAUGGGUCUUCCUCCCUGAUAAUAGAUUCCUGGAUAUCAAUCAAGACCAUGGAGGAAAACGAGUUUCUGAUUCAAACCUUGUUUUCUUCACAGACUACUUCGAUGAAGAACAGUCUCCGCCAUCAGGGAAUUCAGGGAAGGUAGCUAAACAAGUUGUCCCAGUUCCAUUUCCAUUGGAACCAAGAAUCCUUAAGGUUCCAGAAAAUGAAAUAGGGAAGGAAAUCACCAAAAGGGUACCUCUUGAUUUCAGUUCUACACCAUCCAUGAUUCUUGAGAAGAUCAAAGAAGGUGGUAUGGAAUCAGUUGGAGGUGAUAAAGAAGUGAAGACACAAGUUUCGUUUAGGAAACCAAGUUACAACAACAAUGAAUC